CUGCACUUUGCAGAUUUCAAUGUCAAACUCUGCUCUCGCGUCGCACUGAGUCCGUUUUGCGUCCGUUUCGCGCCAAAACGACUCCGAUCUGUCCCGACACUCUCCAGAUGUGUUGACAAGCCUCAGAUGCUAAAAACUUACGGGCAACCAAACACUAGCUAGGGAUACUUCACGUAAUAGCGCCAAUCACAUAAUAAAUAAAAUUAAAUUUAUCCUAUCUACACAUUUUCUCAAACGUAAUACUCGUCAUAAAUUAAAAUAUCCAUCACAUAAUAAAUAAAAUUAAAUUUAUCCUAUCUACGCGUUUUCUCAAAUGUAAUAUCCGCCAUAAAUUAAAAUAUCUAUUAUCUCCUAUUUACGUGUUACUCAAAUAUUUUCUUUCUUACACGUAAUAUCUGCGCCAAUCACAUAGAAUAUUGCUAGAAAGAUUUAAUACCCACCUAAGCAAAACUAAAUUGUUAGUUAAAUAUAAUUUUAAAUUUUUGAAUUUUUUUAGUAAAUUAUUCAAAAGUAUUGCCCGCCAAAAUAUUUUACGCAUUUCUUAAAUAUAGAGCAUAUUUCAAUGCACUCGCAUAUAAUAUCUAUAUAUCUUUGCAUAUAAUAUCUAUACUAUCCAAUCUUAUCUCAUUAUAAUAUUUAUUCACACACAGAAUAUAUUUUUUUGAGAUAUUUUUUUAAUAAUAUCUUUUUUAUUUUCACCUAUAUUCUUCUCAAAUAUUUUUUUAGUAAUAUCUUUUCUCAUUUGAACCCNACAUAUAUUUUUUUGGUAAUAUUCUUUUUCAUUUUCACCUAUAUUUUUCUUAAUUAUUCUCAAAUAUUUUUUUUAGUAAAUCAUUUCUCAUUUGUCACCAUU
rnacentral:lncRNA from 1 species